AGAGUUUGAUCCUGGCUCAGAAUCAACGCUGGCGGCGUGCCUAACACAUGCAAGUCGAACGAGAGAGGGGAGCAAUCCCUGAGUACAGUGGCGCACGGGUGAGUAACACGUGACUAACCUACCCUGGAGUGGGGAAUAACUGAGGGAAACCUUAGCUAAUACCGCAUAAUACCUACGGGUCAAAGGAGCAAUUCGCUUCAGGAGGGGGUCGCGGCCGAUUAGCUAGUUGGCGGGGUAAUGGCCCACCAAGACGAUGAUCUGUAUCCGGCCUGAGAGGGCGCACGGACACACUGGAACUGAAACACGGUCCAGACUCCUACGGGAGGCAGCAGUGGGGAAUCUUGCGCAAUGGGGGAAACCCUGACGCAGCAACGCCGCGUGGAGGAUGAAAUCCCUUGGGAUGUAAACUCCUUUCGAUCGGGAAGAUAAUGACGGUA
rnacentral:rRNA from 1 species